UACCUCUAGGAGCAAAGAAAAAAAAAAAGUGUUUUGUGCUGAAAUAUAUCAUGAAAGUCAAUUUCAUCCUUAUUAAAUCAAGCCACCAAAAGAUGCAGUGACUGAAAACUUCUCCAGAGAAUAAUUCUGCCACACCUGAACCAAACUAUUUUGUCUGUCGUUGGUUUCAAAUGGGAUCCCCCUCGAUGGACAUCUCCGAGUCGCCCUUGUCCACAGCGUCUCUCCCUUGAUGGCACUGUCUCCAUCAGUGGGACCAUUCACCUGCAGCCAGCCAGGACCCCUGCGCAGGGGAGAAGGCCAGUGGAGCCGGGGGAUGCUGGAUUUCCAGCCAGUUAUUGUGGGCUAGGAGUGCUGACAUCUCCACCUUUCAUCGUGCCCUUCAACCGCAUGGCUUGGGAGGUGGCAGCCUUUAUUGCCUGCUUGUUUAAGGUUGUGGGGUGAGAGUCGGGAGAAUGGUCCCUGUUUUGCAAGCAAGCAAAUAACAGUGAAGUUGCUGGAGGGAAAUCUCUUGUCGAGUCUCCCUGAGCUGGAGGGACGCAGAGCACUCAUUGUUCACUUGUUCCUGUAAAAUCAACAGCAAGACCACUCCUGCAGAAUCCGGUCUGCUCCACCGCUGCACCUGACUCCUGCCCCGAUGUAAGCUUCACCUCCUGGUAUUUACAACCUAAAGCCCUCCAAUAUUGCGUUAGUUAAUAGGAUCCAGACAAUGAAGCUGACUACAGGGAAAAGCAAGAGACUGUUCUACUUUCACCAGUGAAAGAGAAGAAAAGACCCAGCUUGAUAAAUGG